AACCUAAUAGCUCAUGAGAAAGACACAAGCAACUGGAGUCAACUGAGGGAAAAAUGAUUGAAAUAUUAUAUGUUAUGCAUUUGAGUUAAACAGAGUUGUAGUAGACUGGCAGGAACAUUGUAUAUGGGGUGUUUAGGUUUCCAUUAUGUCUGAAGAAUCUACUGCGACAUGGAAAUAUCAAUCUGAAGUUUUCGUGCAUCUCUGCAAGCGAUCUUUUAAAGUCUGUUGUAAAAUGGAUAGGAAAAAGUUUUUGUAAGACCUUUUUAAAGGAAUACAUUAUGCGACAUAGGUAGUCCCCUGUAAAAGCCUGUUAAUGCAAUGCUUUAGCCUGUAUGAAGAAGCAGCAGGAGACAGCGGUGGGAAGUGCGGUUUACCCAUGGGCAGUCAUGAUCUGGUAUAUGAGGUUACUUUGAACAUUUCCUUAUGCUGAAUGUAGAUUAACAUAUUGAGCUUGUAGGUUCAGUUUCAGAAAGCUUCAUCAGCCUUUUUGCAUUUCUGAGACUGUCAAGUUUUUGAAGUAUGGAGAUUAAAUAUUGAAGUUCUGGAUUCAGUACCCAAAAGCUUCUUCCAUCUUAUUGAAGAACAUCUGAGACUGCCAAGCUCUUGAAGCAAUGCAUGGUUAGAUUUGUGUCUAAACCAGUGAAGCUGUAUGGUGUUCCCGCCUUCGUCACUCGUGAAUCCAACAUGCAUGGGCUGCAAGAAAAAUCAAAUGGAGCUUAGCAAAUUGGGAAGCUAAUGAGAAUUGAACCUUUACUGGAAUGCAGGAACCUAUUCCCACACCUGAUGGAUAUCUCCCAUGAAGUGGGACAAAAAUAGCAAGGCUUCUGUCAAGUUAUCUGUGGACACAAAAUCCAUUUGACAGAGAGUUAAGUUGAAGAAAUUAAGAACAAAUACAACGCAUGCAAAUUAGAUUGCAAGCGUGCAUCGAGCAACAGCUACUUUCUUACAUCUGCGAUCUGAUGUCCCUUCUUUGUAGUGCAGUAGCUGCAUGGUGAAGUUGCUGAUGGCACCAGCUACACACAUAUCCUUGGCUCCUCGUGGAUCAUGGCAGUCCCCUACCAUCAUACAUAUGGAUCAAAAAACAAAACAAAAGCCAAAUCUAAAACCACCUUUUCUUUCAUUCUCUCAUAGGCCUUGUCCGGGGUGUCAAUGAAAUGAAGGGAGCUGGUCCACCUGUACUUGUACCAGUGCCGGAUCUGAUCGGGCCAUGUACACAGUGCUGAUAAAUCUCCAUUGACAUAAUCUGGCAGAAGGUUCUUGACAGCCUCCGCCGCCUCGGGUUCCAACAUAUCCUUCAACAGGAUUGCAUUAUCAGGAACCAACUUUACCAGGCUCUUGGUGAGGAUUGACAUGAAGCUAGUUUAUGUUGGAAAAUUCUGGUCCUGAUCCUACUAAUGAAUGUCAUUGUUCUUCGAUUUUUUGGGCAUCUAUUAUCUGUCUGUCGGAUCUAGCUCUAUUAGGCUGUACAUGUAAAGUUACAUGCUUAUGAUGUGGAAUCAAGCCCAGGUCUCUUUUUAUAAUCACAAAGGGACUUCAGCUGGA